GAUAAACGCUGGCGGCGUGCCUAACACAUGCAAGUCGAACGUCCUCUUUUGCCUUCGCGAGAAGGGGAGAGAGGGAGUGGCGGACGGGUGAGUAACACGUGGGUACCUACCCUGGGGUGAGGAAUACCGGCGAGAAAUCGCCGACAAGACCGCAUAGGCUCUUUCUUGCACACGUAAAAGAGAGCAAAGCCGAAAGGUGCCCUGGGAUGGGCCUGCGGCCGAUUAGCUAGUUGGCGAGGUAAGAGCUCCCCAAGGCGACGAUCGGUAGCUGGUCUGAGAGGACGAACAGCCACACUGGGAUUGAGAACGGCCCAGACUCCUACGGGGGCAGCAGUGAGGAAUUUUCCGCAAUGGGCGCAAGCCUGACGGAGCAACGCCGCGUGCAGGACGAAGGUUUUCGGAUCGUAAACUGCUUUUCUCGGGGACGAACUAAGACGGUACUCGAGGAACAA
rnacentral:rRNA from 1 species